AGAUAAUGAGCAUACAAUAAUAAUAUUGCAUAUAGUUUCGACCUGUAAGGUAGCUUUUAAAACAAGUAUUAUCUU
rnacentral:tRNA from 1 species